UAUAUUGGGACAUAUAAAAAAAGACAACUCUGUUCCGAGGAUUAGCUGUUGACAUUAUAGUUGCGCAGGCACUUUGUUGACUCUAGAGAACCUCGGGCCAAUCUCACAUCCCCGUGGCGGCGACUUUGCAUGCGGAUGUCAUCCAUACCAACUUUCAAUGCCAGUUUCUGCGCCUACCAUGGUGACCACGGGUAACAGGGAAUCAGGGUUCCAUUCCGUACAGGGACCCUGAGAAACAGCUACCACAUGCAAGGAAGGCAGCAGGCGCGCAAAUGACCCACUCCCGACGUGGGAAGGUAGUGA